GUCUUCUGGCCCCAGAGCACUCCAGGCUGUGAUGCGAUCUGUUUCCAGAAGCAGAAGAUGGUGGUAGAAGCGCUGAGCCGUAACAGGUCUUCAAGGGCUUCAUUACACCUGUUUUGGAAGGGAAGCUGGUAUUUGAUUUGCUUCUUGUGUCAUGAGUCUGGAGAAGAAUUUUGGUGGAGGAGUGGUGAAGAAAAGGGCAAGUUCCUGGAGAGAAGCAGAAGAUAGGAUCGAAGAGAGGGGUGAAUGUGUUAUGGACAUGUACCUGUUCCCGGGAUGAUGCUGCACUGUAGCUUGCUGCCCAGCUCUGCCGGCUUUCGCCCUUCUGCCCAUUGCUCGGAGGGUGUGUGCUGCCCCCAGGACAUUGCUACGUUGUGACUACCUGCGCUGAUGAACAGACACCGACUGCUGCCCUUGAGUAUUCUGAGAAACAACUGCUCACUUUGAAAGUUUAAAGAGGUUUAUUAAACCUUAAUGUUAUAAAUUAUCAAAUCGAUAGCCAAAUUUAUGAAAAAUUUAACAACAAUUUAUUGGGUCAAUUAGAAAAAAAUAGAAUUUCGAGCAACCACCACAAUCAAGACAGCGUCAGUCUCGGGUACAGGUGCUGGGUGAGACCAGAGGUUCGACCGACAGAGUGACAGUGUCCCCUCAAAGGUUCACCCCAAGUGUUUCCAGCAUUCAGUUUAUUUACAGUUUAUUGCGCCUGAGGCAUAGAUAGCCGCAUCUUUCUAUUAAUUUCUUUGAAUGCAAAUCCAUUUCUAUACAUAUGUGGAAAUAGACAAAGACGGGUAGACAGAAGUCUGAGCACACAGGAGAAGUUUGAAUAAGUUGGUAUAGGUUCCUGAGUGCCCAGAUGCGAUCAGGGCGAGUCUGAGUCUUGUGAAAUUCCUGGGACACUGCAAUUAAUCAUGGGCCAGGAAGGCCCUGAUGUUAUCUCCCAGGUGCAGGAGACAAGGAAAUAAUCUCUGAUGGUCCAGGAAGGUUCCAUUCAGACCUUAAACAGGUCUGAUGCUAUCUUGAUACUGCCAGGAAUUAGUUACAAUUUUGAAUAGAGCUUUGUUCCUGGCUGGGAGGUUAAAACAUAAUUUCUACAAUAUUUUAUACCCACACAUAUCUGUUUAUACAGCAUGAAUUAACUACAUUACAUGUCACACAUAACAAAAGUAGUACAAAGGACUACAUAAGGAAAAAGCUACAGUGCUGGGAACUGCCCCUCAUGCUUACCACGUGGCCAGUUCAUCUUCAAGAUGGAUGCUCAGUCUUUUAUACCCCUGGGGUUGCAUCAGCCAGCCUUGGCCCCUCCCAAAGUCUGUCAGUCAGCUCUUCUCUCUUCUUUGCCAUUUAUCGGUGGAAACUGCUUUCUUGUAACUUGAUUGAAGGUCAGGUGUUGCCAUGCCACACCGCCUAAGCAACAAGCUGUUCCAUUCCCAACUGCCCCAUGCAAGGGGCACAUAUGCACACCUUCUGUCCACCUGUCCUACACAGCCCAGGCUGUCUGAUGGCAGCAAUAUGGGGUGGGGGGGGAACUGUGGGGAGAACAGAGGACAUCUAAACUACAAUAACAUAACUAUACAUCAUUAAAGCUUUUCUUAAUAUUCCCACCAUAGUUACCUUUAAAUUGCGAGAGCCAAUAAUCUCAUUAUCCAUCUAUUACAGUAUUACAAAAGGAGCAAUCUUCUCGCCUGAGCCCCCCACUGCCCCCCCAUUCCCCACAGGGAAGUUUCUGAGCUCCUGUGCAAGCACCCCUGAGGUCACUGCAGCCCCUCUGCCCCACCUGAGCCUCCAGUGCUCCCGGCUGGUUGUGGUCAUAGCUACACAGAAAGGGGAAAUUCCUUCACAGGCUGGAAACUUCUGGUAUUGUUUUAUUGUUGUUUGUCUGUCUUGGGACACAUAUAUAUUCGAGUAAAGAGCUGUUAUUCCUUUUCCCAUAAUUUUUGCCUGGAAGAGCCAUAAUUUACAUACAAGUUUGGGGGCAGGGGUUGCCUUCCCAUUCCAGGAAGGUUCCCACCUUCCUCAGCAGACUGUCCUUUAAAACAAGACAGUGAGUGAUCUCUCUCUGCCCUUACCUUAACUCGUGAAACCUUUGUUAUAUUUUCUUUCCCCUGUCCAGCUGUGGAGGGGAAGUGAGAGAGCAGCUGUAGUGUGUGUCUGGCAUCCACCUGGGGUCAACCCACCACUGAUGCCUUCAGAUUUUAGCUUUUGUAUUUGUCAUUUAUUUGUAAUCCUGCACUUCUUUAGCAUAUAACUCCAAACUCUAUAUAGAGUGUUAGCUACUGCUUUCCCAUUUUGGUCAGACACAACAAUUUCUCUCUAGGCCUGGGAAUCAAGGACACCUGACUGUCUCAGGCCUAGAGAAAUGCAAACAAAAGUGAGUUGGGGGAGGAGCAACUUGGGGUAAAUGACUUCAUUACCUGAAGCUGUAAUUGGAAGAUUGAGCCCCAAUAUGCAAAUAGACCAAGCUUAUAAAAGUGUGAAAACCCAUCACCCAUUGUCCAUUUUUGGGUGUACCCCCUGGGGGGGCUUUGUUUGCCUGAAAUGUAGCUGAAGGCCUUUCAAUAAAUAUAACCACUUUUUAU